GUUUGAUCCUGGCUCAGGACGAACGCUGGCGGCGUGCUCAAUACAUGCAAGUCGAGCGGACAGGUGGAGCUUCCCCUGAUGUUAGCGGCGGACGGGUGAGUAACACGUGGUAACCUGCCUGUAAGACUGGGAUAACUCCGGGAAACCUGGCUAAUACCAUUGGAUGGUUGUUUGAACCGCAUGGUUCAAACAUAAAGGUGGCUUCGGCUACCACUUACAGAUGGACCCGCGGCGCAUUAGCUAGUUGGUGAGGUAACGGCUCACCAGCAACGAUGCGUAGCCGACCUGGAGGGUGAUCGGCCACACUGGGACUGAGACACGGCCCAGACUCCUACGGGAGGCAGCAGGGAAUCUUCCGCAAUGGACGAAAGUCUGACGGAGCAACGCCGCGUGAGUGAUGAAGGUUUUCGGAUCGUAAAGCUCNNUGUUAGGGGAAGANAGUACCGUUCGAACAGGGUGGUACCUUGACGGUACCUAACCAGAAAGCCACGGCUAACUACGUGCCAGCAGCCGCGGUAAUACGUAGGUGGCAAGCGUUUUCCGGAAUUAUUGGCGUAAAGGGCUCGCAGGCGGUUUCUUAAGUCUGAUGAAAGCCCCCGGCUCAACCGGGGAGGGUCAUUGAAACUGGGAACUUGAGUGCAGAAGAGAGAGUGGAAUUCCACGUGUAGCGGUGAAAUGCGCAGAGAUGUGGAGGAACACCAGUGGCGAAGGCGACUCUGGUCUGUAACUGACGCUGAGGAGCGAAAGCGUGGGAGCGAACAGGAUUAGAUACCCUGGUAGUCCACGCCGUAAACGAUGAUGCUAAGUGUUAGGGGGUUUCCGCCCUUAGUGCUGCAGCUAACGCAUUAACACUCCGCCUGGGAGUACGGUCGCAAGACUGAAACUCAAAGGAAUUGACGGGGCCCGCACAAGCGGUGGAGCAUGGUUUAAUUCGAAGCAACGCGAAGAACCUUACCAGGUCUUGACAUCCUCUGACAAUCCUAGAGAUAGGACGUUCCCUUCGGAGGACAGGNNNNGNUGGUGCAUGGUUGUCGUCAGCUCGUGUCGUGAGAUGUUGGGUUAAGUCCCGCAACGAGCGCAACCCUGAUCUUAGUUGCCAGCAUUCAGUUGGGCACUCUGCGACUGCCGUNANAAACCGGAGGAAGGUGGGGAUGACGUCAAAUCAUCANGCCCUUAUGACCUGGGCUACACGUGCUACAAUGGACAGAACAAAGGGCAGCGAAACCGCGAGGUUAAGCCAAUCCCACAAAUCUACUCAGUUCGGAUCGCAGUCUGCAACUCGACUGCGUGAAGCUGGAGUCGCUAGUAAUCGGAUCAGCAUGCCGCGGUGAAUACGUUCCCGGGCCUUGUACACACCGCCCGUCACACCACGAGUUUGUAACACCCGAAGUCGGUGAGGUAACCUUUAGGAGCCAGCCGCCGAAGGUGGACGGAUGAUUGGGUGAAGUCGGAACAAGGUAGCCGUAUCGGAAGGUGCGGCUG
rnacentral:rRNA from 1 species